ACCCCUGUGAGAAUGCCCCCCAGUUCCCCGUCCGGGAACAAGGAGCUGGUAUCAGGCACACUUUGAAGCCCACGACGCCUUGCUUAGCCACACCCCCAAGGGAAUUCAGCAGUGACAAACAUUAAGCUAUAAGUGAAAACUUGACUUAGUUAAAGCUAAGAGGGCCGGUAAAACUCGUGCCAGCCACCGCGGUUAUACGAGAGGCCCAAGUUGAUGAACAUCGGCGUAAAGAGUGGUUAAGCUAAAAUUAAAACUAAAGCCGAACGUCCCCAAAGCUGUUAUACGCACCCGGGGGUAAGAAGUUCAACCACGAAGGUGGCUUUAUUAAACCUGAACCCACGAAAGCUACGGCCCAAACUGGGAUUAGAUACCCCACUAUGCCUAGCCCUAAACAUUGAUAGAAUUUUACAACCUCUAUCCGCCCGGGGACUACAAGCAUCAGCUUGAAACCCAAAGGACUUGGCGGUGCUUUAGAUCCACCUAGAGGAGCCUGUUCUAGAACCGAUAACCCCCGUUCAACCUCACCCCUCUUUGUUAAUACCGCCUAUAUACCACCGUCGUCAGCUUACCCUGUGAGGGACCAAUAGUAAGCUUAACUGGUACAACCCUAAACGUCAGGUCGAGGUGUAGCGUAUGGAGGGGGAAGAAAUGGGCUACAUUCGCUACAACAGCGAACACGAAUGAUGUCCUGAAACGUACAUCUGAAGGAGGAUUUAGCAGUAAGUAGAAAAUAGAGUGUUCUACUGAAAUUGGCCCUGAAGCGCGCACACAUCGCCCGUCACUCUCCCCAAGCCUAAUAAUACAAUUAACUAAAAACUAAUAAUUGCAAAGGGGAGGCAAGUCGUAACAUAGUAAGUGUACCGGAAGGUGCACUUGGAAAAG
rnacentral:ncRNA from 1 species